ACACUCCUGCGGGAGGCAGCAGUGGGGAAUAUUGCACAAUGGGCGCAAGCCUGAUGCAGCCAUGCCGCGUGUAUGAAGAAGGCCUUCGGGUUGUAAAGUACUUUCAGCGGGGAGGAAGGCGAUAAGGUUAAUAACCUUGUCGAUUGACGUUACCCGCAGAAGAAGCACCGGCUAACUCCGUGCCAGCAGCCGCGGUAAUACGGAGGGUGCAAGCGUUAAUCGGAAUUACUGGGCGUAAAGCGCACGCAGGCGGUCUGUCAAGUCGGAUGUGAAAUCCCCGGGCUCAACCUGGGAACUGCAUUCGAAACUGGCAGGCUAGAGUCUUGUAGAGGGGGGUAGAAUUCCAGGUGUAGCGGUGAAAUGCGUAGAGAUCUGGAGGAAUACCGGUGGCGAAGGCGGCCCCCUGGACAAAGACUGACGCUCAGGUGCGAAAGCGUGGGGAGCAAACAGGAUUAGAUACCCUAGUAGUCCCAUGA
rnacentral:rRNA from 1 species